CCUACGGGCGGCAGCAGUGGGGAAUAUUGCUCAAUGGUGGCAACCCUGACGCAGCAAAGCCGCGUGAUGGAAGAAGGCCUUGGGGUUGUUAAGAUCUUUAUACAGGGACGCAAAAAUUACGGUACCUGAAGAAUAAGCUCUGGCUAAAGACGUGCCAGCAGCCACGUGAAUACGUAGGGAGCCAGCGUUAUCCGGGUUUAAUGGGUUUAAAGGGCGUGUAGGGUGGCCUGUAAGUCAGAAGUGAAUUCUGAGGGCUUAACCCCCACACUGAUGUUGAAACUGCGGGUCUUGAGUGAUGGAGAGGCAUGCGGAAUGCGCGGUGUAGCGGUGAAAUGCGUAGAUAUUGGGAGGAACACCAGUGGCGAAGGCGGCCUGCCGGACAUUAACUGACGCUGAGGCGCGAAAGCGUGGGGAGCGAACAGGAUUAGAUACCCUUGUAGUC
rnacentral:rRNA from 1 species